CCUUUUUAGAUAAGAAAAUCAUAUCAAGAAUCUGUCUUGAUCAAACACCAAUCAGGGAAAUAUAGCAUUUGGACAUCACACUCAAGGUGUAAUUACAAGUUAUAAUACUAAAAGCAAGAACACAAGGUUCAUAUCAGCGCUGAAUUUUCCUGUUCCUCAAUACAAAAUUACAUAAAGAGCAACCAUAUGUCGCUGCAUAUAACUUAGCAUUCUUCAAAGCCUUCCUGUAAUUUAACACCCUUUAAACAACUAAGCAAGCUUCAAUUUGAAUGGUCUUGGUGUUACUCGAGUUUCUCCAGGAGCCCAUAAUUUCUUCAGUAAGUUUUCAAAAGCUGAAGUGAUGUCAUCUGGGUUUGGCGCAAUUGUCUUCAAAUAUGGGUUUGAUGCCAGGUUUUGGCGGGGUUUCGUCUUUACAUUGUAGCCGGAGGUGCACGCUGGUCGAUUAGCCGGAUGUUGGCCGGAGAUGAAGAAAGCUGAG
rnacentral:lncRNA from 1 species